AGAGUGAACGCUGGCGGCAGGCUUAACACAUGCAAGUCGAACGGCAGCACAGCCCCGCAAGGGGUGGGUGGCGAGUGGCGGACGGGUGAGGAAUACAUCGGAAUCUACCCUGUCGUGGGGGAUAACGUAGGGAAACUUACGCUAAUACCGCAUACGACCCACGGGUGAAAGCGGCGGACCGCAAGGCGUCGCGCGAUUGGAUGAGCCGAUGUCCGAUUAGCUAGUUGGCGGGUAAAGCCCACAAGGCGACGAUCGGUAGCUGGUCUGAGAGGAUGAUCAGCCACACUGGAACUGAGACACGGUCCAGACUCCUACGGGAGGCAGCAGUGGGGAAUAUUGGACAAUGGGCGCAAGCCUGAUCCAGCCAUGCCGCGUGUGUGAAGAAGGCCUUCGGUUGUAAAGCACUUUUGUCCGGAAAGAAAGCACGUCAAUUAAUACCUGGUGUCCUGACGUACCGAAGAAUAAGCACGCUAACUCGUGCCAGCAGCG
rnacentral:rRNA from 1 species